CUGCGGGUGAGCAGAGCAGUCCCUUCGUGGUCGCCAACUGAAACGAUACGCGGAAUAAAUAGACUCCAUAACCUGGGGUAGUUAUGAAGUGGACGUUCCAUAUGCAAAACACUGCACGACUUUUUCAUGCAUAUUCAACCCCUGGCCCCGCCUGUCCUCGCUUCUCAUGCUAAAGCUGUCACAGAGCAGAAGGGCAGAUGAGAUGCUGAAAAGCAGCAAAGCUGAACAGCCUGCCUCAGCUUCAGCAGUGUGCAAUUGACUGAAGGCGAAAAACCAAGCAGCAGAGCAGCAGGCUUCUGUGCGCACUGAAGGCAAUUGCAAGCAUGCAGCAGCUGCUCCUUGCCAAGCACAGGCAGCUGCCUAGGUUCUUGGUUCUUGACCAACUCACAGUUGCCCUUCUUUUCAGCAGCUGCCACCGUGUUCUCUGCAUCUCGCAGCCUCUGGGGAGCAACAAGAAUUUCCAAGGUGGGAUGCAUGACGACUAUGGCAAAACCCAGGAAAGUUGUCCUGGAACACCUUCCAUUGGCAUGCCAAGACUGAAUUCAACAGGCAGGAGAGCAGCAGCCACCGUCCUCCAGCUGUCUGCGAGCUUCGCACACAAGCCGGCUUCUUCGCGGCUUCGUUCUUCGCCUCUUGCAAGCUACCGCGAUCUCCGGCUGCCGGAGGACAAGAAGCGGCUACUUCGCGCACAGAUCACUGGAGCGGCAGCGGUGCGCUCCGGAGCGCCGCUUCUGCCGAAAGACUCCGGGAAGCGGCACUUGCUUUCGGCCAGCUCCGGAGCUGCGUAUUCUGCCUCUCUAGUCGCCUACAUCUUAGCCAAAAGCUUUUCCGCUCCAGUUCUCAAGGAGAAAGUGUACCAGCACUGCUCACUUAGCCCGACCUUGCCAAGAAAUAAGAUUUGCUGCACAUUCCAAGGACACUGCAUUUUCCUGGGCAAGCUGCAACCUUCUGGCAGAUGGCUGUGCUCUCUGCCCACUCCUGCCCAGUUCUUGGUACUAGCGGGCACGUUGCAGCCUGGCGAAGGCAAGAAACCUCUGAAACGAUACGCGGAAUAAAUAAAUAGACUCCAUAAGCUAGGGUAGUUAUGAAGUGGGUAUGUACGUCAGCGCCCGGCACAAGUGAGAUAGCUCUCCAAAACUUGUGCCCCGAGCCUCAGUCUGACCCACACUUUUAUUCUUAAAGACGUUCCAUAUGCAAUACACUGCACAACUUUUUCAUGAGUAUUCAACCCCUGGCCCCGCCUGUCCUCGCUUCUCAUGCUAAGUAAGUCCACGCCCUUCUGGGCAUGCGUGGUUUGCUGUGGUGGUCGUACGGGGUCUCUUGGUGGUCCUGAGGCUGAAGAUUGUGGUUUUCCUCAUGAUUGAACUUUUGAACUUUUCCUCUCUGCGCGUGCGCUUUUGGUCCU